ACUAUUAUAUACUAAAAGAAAUACUCGUACAAUCCCGAAUUUGUUUGAAAUACACAUAACAUAUACACUCAAGUAUAUUUAUCAAUACUAUUUACAAUAAAACUAUUUUCAAAAUGGCGCACCAUUCAAUAGGAACGCGUCGUGCCCGUCGCGUCGUAUUGCAGGUAUUUGCGGCAUUAGGAGCACAGCUGCUCACACAAUGCAUGUCACACGUAAUAGCUUCACGUCUGCACCGAUGUUUAUAACUCCACUGCUGAUUAAAAUACGAAAGUUUUGCUCAAACUGAGAGCAUUUUCCUAGUUUUGUUCGAUUGAAUUGAGUUCGUGAUAGUUGAAAGGAUGGAUUGUAAUUUUCAUAAUAAAUUUAGCCUAUUUUGAAUUUGGGAGUAAGGAAGUUACUCCUCCGUGCCUCGGUACUGGCAAUUUUCUCUCAUUCUUCUUAAAUUAUAAAAUACAUGAAACACUAUUAUAAAAAAAAUUCAACACUUCCGCUGCGGGACAUUUUGAGUGCCCAAGUAAUCGGCAGACAGAUCUCCCGAGUGAGGAACCUCCUCACAAUACGCGCCGUCUCUAUAACAUUUGAGAGUAGUAAAAGAGACAACGAAUUUAACAAAGUCAUCAUAAGCUUCCAACUCGCAUUGAAUUCGACUUGACUUAUCCCCAUAAUGACAUAUAGGUACCUAACAUAACCUGACGAUUUAAAAGUGCUUGCAAGGUAUAUGCCAUUCGACUUUGAGUCUUCCAGCCAGCAAUAAACUAGCAGUGAUUUUUCGUUUUUAAAUAGAUGAGCAGUAAGAAUAAUCUCGUUAUCUCUUGGCUAUUUUAGAACUGCUGAACAAAGGAGUGAAGUCUAAUAUUAGCAAGCACUGAAUAUUUUAUACGUCUAAUGGAGCUCUACAAAGAAUGUCGCGUUAGUUAUUAUACAUCGAUUUCUUGGAGACCACCUGGCAUCUGUGCACUUUAGUUACUAUUCACACCUCUUUAUACCUUUAACAAAUACUAUAAAAACGUUAUUUAUUUAUUUAUUUUAAACAGGACACCAAUAGGUUACAAUAAAAUCUUACAAUAAAAUAUAAAGAAAUAUAUAAGUUACGGCAAUUAUUGCAGACCCACUUAUUGGUUGUCACAGCAUCCACUAAGGAUACAGAUAAGGUCUAGUUCGCACUACUCCAGUAAUCCAGCCGAGUACAAACGAUUUUUGGGCGGUAAAACCAAAAAUCGUUGGCUCCCGACUAAAACAAUAAAGUAGUCCGAACUGGGUAACGUUAACAAAGGAAAUCGACCAUUUUUCAUACAUUAAUGGGCCUAAAUCUAAUGAAUGAACUGUUACUGUGUCCAAAUUAGUAUCAUAAUAAAUAAUAAUAUCAGUUAAUUAGACUGGUUUAAUUGCAGUUUUAUUGAAAGUUGCAUAAUUAAGAUAUAUUAAGAUAUGAUAUAUCUACAUUAUAAAAUGCACGAUUUCAAAAACACAUUUCCAAAAAAUGUUAAAAACUAUCAAUUCUAAUUAUUUUUGGUGAUUUUAAUUACUAAAAUGAAAAAUUUACCUUAAUUUUUUUUUCUGUAACGUGCUGGUCCCAAAAUGGUCGGUUUCUUUUCAGAUAAAGGUUGGUAGGUAUUCGCUAAUUCGCGUCGUUUUAUCGUGGUAUGCACCCGUUUAAAUAAUAUUCAUAAUGAACAACCACGAAAUAUGUUUAAAUCAUUAGUACUAGUUAAGUUUACAUCGUCGUAACCAUUCGUAGAUUAAGGAAAAUAGCACGAUGUAUAAUCAUGUUAAUUUAUUUAACGAUUAUUAAAGGGCAUUAACAAUCAGAAAUCAAUUAAAAUCAGAUAAAAUAAUUGAUAUCAUAAUAUGUAUCACUUUGACACCUAUAUAUAAUCUAUGUAUCUAAGAUGUAUCACUAAUCAUUUAUAGUAUAAAUACUCGUUGUGCUCUAAAAAGUUAUCAAUUGACUUCUCUCUGCCAUAAUGAAAAUCCUGCUGUUCUGCGUCGCUCUGGUGGCGUGCCUGUACGCAGUGUACGCGGCUCCCAGCGCGUAUAUUGAACACCCUAGCAUGAGCUGGCCUCCCAUGGGUGGCAUUUCUGCAGAUUCAUUAUAUCCAGGACCUUCAUUCUAGCCAGUGCUAAGUCGAAGCCUUACAAGCAACGAUCCCCCUAAAGGUUCCAAAACGGAAAUGGAAUUUUUAACUUUUUCUUUAUUCCAAUAAGAACUUUAACAUUGUAAUAAAAUGUAAACAGCUUGUAAUUGUUUUGUUUAAUAAAGCAUUUUUGUAAUA